AAAGAUAUUGUAUGAGGUUGUAAUAGACCUCAAACCUGAGGGGCUACUAUGUAAUUUACCCAAGAAAUUAACACAACUAAUAGCAGUUUAACAGGAGUAAUCUUUAUAUAUAAAGGGAGAAGGCCAGUUUGGUGAAGCAUUUAGAAAUGCCAAGAAAGCCCCUUCGUUUCUUCACAAACCAAAUCCAGAAAAAUCGGAAAAUGAGGACAAACUGGUAAAAACAAAAAAAAAAUGUGUUGAAGAAAGAAAAAAUCAAAACAAAAAGUAAAUACGUGCUAAAGAUGAUGCAGGAGGAAUAAGCCCCAACCGGUAGACAGUUUACUCUGAAGGAUUCCCACAAUCUGGACUGAGUUUAGUGGGAGGUUUAACAGUAACUACCCACACCCCACAAAUAUUUAGAGAUGAAUAAUCGGAAGGAAAUCCAUUUUCGUUUUCACCAGAUUAGUGUGUGGUUUCCAUUUGUUCCAAAUAGAAAAAUGAUUGAAAAAAUCAGACACAUAUCUCCUUCUUUGUUGUUGCCGUUCUGGGUUUUGUGCUCUGCAUGCAACGGCCUUUUCAAAAUCAAGUACACCACUUUCUAAAUUAUGAAUUAAUUUUGUUUGUUGCAUUGACUUCAAAUGGAAUUUUGAUUUAGACAAAUUAGAUCGGAGAAGGAAUUCCCACAGUUGAACCUGAGCCCGUAGACAAGUGCGAGGCUCUCAAGCGAUUGCUCACUCUCAUCGCCCAGUGCUUCCAAGUCUCCAAUUUCUUCCCUGAGAUUCUAGGAUUGUUUUUAUUCAUCCAUUUCCCCAGUUCUUUCCAGUCUUUUCCUGCUUUUUCCCAUACGAAAUGCAUUGCUAGAAGGAGAGAUAGAGGUACUGCGUUGUCCGACAGAGGAGGGAUAGGCCGAGCAGCAUAUGGCCAUUUUUAAUGGAACCAAAGUCACACGGGCCACAGCCCACAACUGAUAUGCUUGCAGAACGAGGUUGCUUUAGACAUAGUAAAUAGUACAAUAAUCAAGUUCAAUCCAUUUUUCUCAAUAAAAUGGGAAUGAAACUGCUCUCUUCGUCUUCUUGAUACCCACAUUGAUAGCAUUGAUCUUCAACAGUUAAAGGGGGGGCUUUCCAGCAUCAAGGCGGUGGAGAUAAAUGUGAUCUGGUGUUGUGUGGGCGAGACAAUGUAGGUGAAAACACAUACCAAAGCAACAAAGCUAUGGUGGUGGGAAUAAUCGUUCUCAGGUGAAGUUUGCAAUCGAAUACAUGCGAAGACCUAUCCAGAAAAAUGCAAAUUUUGACAUAAUGAACGUGAGCAUCAUUAACGUAUCUUAUCCAUAAGUAUUUUUUCUAUCUGUAUCCUCAUAAACUUAGUUUAUCUUUAUCAUUUUCCUCAUAACACUACAUUAGGGGAGGCUCAUGAUCCUUAUUAUUAGGGGUGGGUUCGGUUCAAAUCGGUUAGGUUUUUUGCCAAAACCGAAACCGAACCGAAA